rnacentral:rRNA from 1 species
UACGAGUGCCCCAAGCGUUAUCCGGAAUUACUGGGCGUAAAGGGUGUGUAGGUGGUUUGAUUAGUCUGUCGUUAAAACUCCCGGCUUAACCGGGAAGGUGCGAUAGAAACGGCCAAACUAGAGGAGGUGAGAGGCAUGUGGAACUCAUGGUGUAGGGGUGAAAUCCGUUGAUAUCAUGGGGAACGCCUAAGGUGAAGACAGCAUGCUAGCACUUAUCUGACACUGAAACACGAAAGCGUGGGGAUCGAAAAGG